rnacentral:rRNA from 1 species
AUUGAACGCUGGCGGCAGGCUUAACACAUGCAAGUCGAGCGGGGUGAUGGUGCUUGCACUAUCACUUAGCGGCGGACGGGUGAGUAAUGCUUAGGAAUCUGCCUAUUAGUGGGGGACAACAUCUCGAAAGGGAUGCUAAUACCGCAUACGUCCUACGGGAGAAAGCAGGGGAUCACUUGUGACCUUGCGCUAAUAGAUGAGCCUAAGUCGGAUUAGCUAGUUGGUGGGGUAAAGGCCUACCAAGGCGACGAUCUGUAGCGGGUCUGAGAGGAUGAUCCGCCACGCUGGGACUGAGACACGGCCCAGACGCCUACGGGGGGCAGCAGUGGGGAAUAUUGGACAGUGGGGGGAACCCUGAUCCAGCCAUGCCGCGUGUGUGAAGAAGGCCUUAUGGUUGUAAAGCACUUUAAGCGAGGAGGAGGCUCUUUUGGUUAAUACCCAAGAUGAGUGGACGUUACUCGCAGAAUAAGCACCGGCUAACUCUGUGCCAGCCGCCGCCGUAA